AAUCAUGGCUCAGGAUGAACGCUAGCUACAGGCUUAACACAUGCAAGUCGAGGGGCAGCAUGAACUUAGCUUGCUAAGUUUGAUGGCGACCGGCGCACGGGUGAGUAACACGUAUCCAACCUGCCGAUGACUCGGGGAUAGCCUUUCGAAAGAAAGAUUAAUACCCGAUGGCAUAGUUCUUCCGCAUGGUAGAACUAUUAAAGAAUUUCGGUCAUCGAUGGGAAUGCGUUCCAUUAGGUUG
rnacentral:rRNA from 1 species